AGGCUUAACACAUGCAAGUCGAGCGCACUCCUUUGGAGUGAGCGGCAAACGGGUGAGUAACGCGUGGGAAUCUACCCAUCUCUACGGAAUAACACAGAGAAAUUUGUGCUAAUACCGUAUACGUCCCUUCGGGGAGAAAGAUUUAUCGGAGAUGGAUGAGCCCGCGUUGGAUUAGCUAGUUGGUGAGGUAACGGCUCACCAAGGCGACGAUCCAUAGCUGGUCUGAGAGGAUGAUCAGCCACACUGGGACUGAGACACGGCCCAGACUCCUACGGGAGGCAGCAGUGGGGAAUAUUGGACAAUGGGGGCAACCCUGAUCCAGCCAUGCCGCGUGAGUGAUGAAGGCCCUAGGGUUGUAAAGCUCUUUCG
rnacentral:rRNA from 1 species